GACGAACGCUGGCGGCGUGCUUAACACAUGCAAGUCGAGCGAGGCCCACCUUUCGGGGUGGUGUCCUAGCGGCGAACGGGUGAGUAACACGUGGGCAACCUGCCCUCAGCUCUGGGAUAACUCCAAGAAAUUGGGGCUAAUACCGGAUAUGACUGCUGACCGCAUGGUCUGGUGGUGGAAAGAUUUAUCGGCUGGGGAUGGGCCCGCGGCCUAUCAGCUUGUUGGUGGGGUAGUGGCCUACCAAGGCGACGACGGGUAGCCGGCCUGAGAGGGUGACCGGCCACACUGGGACUGAGACACGGCCCAGACUCCUACGGGAGGC
rnacentral:rRNA from 1 species